AGCCUGCCCGGUGAUAUAUUUAACGGCCGCGGUAUCCUAACCGCGCGAAGGUAGCAUAAUCACUUGUUCUUUAAAUAGGGACUAGUAUCAACGGCAUCACGAGGGUUGCACUGUCUCCUCUUUCCAAUCAGUGAAACUGAUCUCCACGUGAAGAAGCGCGGAUACAAUAAUAAGACGAGAAGACCCCAUGGAGCUUUAAACCCACAGCAAUUCUGGCAUAUAGCCCAUAAUAUUUUACAGGAACAUGCACACCGGCUUUAGGUUGGGGCGACCGCGGAGUACAGACUAACCUCCACGACGAAAAGAGCUAAAUCUUUAUCCAAGAGCCACCGCUCUAAGAAUUAGUACACUAACGAACGUGACCCGAUAAUCGAUCAACGGACCAAGUUACCCUGGGGAUAACAGCGCAAUCUACUUCAAGAGCCCAUAUCGACAAGUAGGCUUACGACCUCGAUGUUGGAUCAGGGUAUCCAGGUGGUGCAGCCGCUACUAA
rnacentral:rRNA from 2 species